rnacentral:tRNA from 1 species
UGGCUGAGUGGUAAAGCACUUGGCUUCCGAACCAGUGGUCUCGGGUUCGAAUCCUGG